rnacentral:rRNA from 1 species
GACGAACGCUGGCGGCGUGCUUAACACAUGCAAGUCGAACGGAGCGAAUGAAAGCUUGCUUUUAUGAGCUUAGUGGCAAACGGGUGAGUAACACGUAGACAACCUGCCGAUCAGAUGGGGACAACAUUCCGAAAGGAAUGCUAAUACCGAAUGAAGUGUGGGGGAGGCAUCUUCCCUACAUGAAAGAUGGCCUCUAUUUAUAAGCUAUCACUGAUCGAUGGGUCUGCGUCUGAUUAGCUGGUAGGUAAGGUAACGGCUUACCUAGGCGACGAUCAGUAGCCGGUCUGAGAGGAUGAACGGCCACAUUGGGACUGAGACACGGCCCAGACUCCUACGGGAGGCAGCAGUGGGGAAUCUUCCGCAAUGGGCGCAAGCCUGACGGAGCAACGCCGCGUGAGUGAAGAAGGUCUUCGGAUCGUAAAGCUCUGUUGAAGGGGACGAACGUACAUAAGUUGAAUAAGCUUGUGUAAUG